AACUGAUACUACCUGCGGGAACCUGCGGAAGGAUCAUUACCGAGUCUUCGUGCUCAACCAACCCUUCUGUGGACCUGAAUAAAAACGUUGCCUCGGCGGGCGGCCCCACUUUGCGGGCCGGACAGCCCGGCCGUCUCUCAGGAGCGGCCGGCGCCAGCCGCUGGCCUCAAACCAAAAAAACUCUAGUAACCUUCUAUCUUCUGAGUUUUAACGCAAGAAAUAAAAGUCAAAACUUUCAGC
rnacentral:misc_RNA from 1 species